UACGUAGGGGGCAAGCGUUGUCCGGAAUCAUUGGGCGUAAAGAGCGUGUAGGCGGCCCGGUAAGUCCGCUGUGAAAGUCCAGGGCUCAACCCUGGGAUGCCGGUGGAUACUGUCGGGCUCGAGUCCGGAAGAGGAGUGUGGAAUUCCACGUGUAGCGGUGAAAUGCGUAGAGAUGUGGAGGAACACCAGUGGCGAAGGCGGCUUUCUGGUCUGUAACUGACGCUGAGGCGCGAAAGCGUGGGGAGCAAACAGG
rnacentral:rRNA from 1 species